UUAGGAAUUUUGCGCAAUGGGAGAAAUCCUGACGCAGCAACGCCGCGUGAACGAUGAAGGCCUUCGGGUUGUAAAGUUCUUUUAGUCGGGACGAAAAAAAUGACGGUACCGACAGAAACAGCACCGGCUAACUCUGUGCCAGCAGCCGCGGUAAUACAGAGGGUGCAAGCGUUAUUCGGAAUUACUGGGCGUAAAGCGCAUGUAGGCGGUUCGAUAAGUUCGAUGUGAAAGCCCUGGACUCAAUUCAGGA
rnacentral:rRNA from 1 species